AGGUUGAGGAAUCGUCAAGCCUAUUUUCAAUUCUAACAAUAUCAUUUUAGUGAUUGUCACUAUUGUCUAAUGAUUUUGUGAUAUCAUUAUGAAUGAUGUCAAAAUCAUGUGGAUAAUUAAGAAAUGACAUUUACAUAGUCUGUUAGUUUACUAUACACAACAAACAAACUCCUUAGAGUAGAUAAUAUUAUGGAAGCCUAUCUUUGGCAAUUAAGGCUCGAUCAUAUAAAUAAGAAUAGGAUCAAUAAGAGAUAAUUCUCGAAGUCAAUCAUUGUGAAUCAUUGUCAACCUA
rnacentral:lncRNA from 1 species